UACGUAGGUGGCGAGCGUUGUCCGGAAUUAUUGGGCGUAAAGGGAGCGCAGGCGGGAAGGCAAGUCAGUCUUAAAAGUGCGGGGCUCAACCCCGUGAUGGGAUUGAAACUGUCUUUCUUGAGUGCAGGAGAGGAAAGCGGAAUUCCUAGUGUAGCGGUGAAAUGCGUAGAUAUUAGGAGGAACACCAGUGGCGAAGGCGGCUUUCUGGACUGUAACUGACGCUGAGGCUCGAAAGCGUGGGGAGC
rnacentral:rRNA from 1 species